GAUGAACGCUGGCGGCGUGCCUAAUACAUGCAAGUCGAGCGAACAGACGAGGAGCUUGCUCCUUCGACGUUAGCGGCGGACGGGUGAGUAACACGUAGGUAACCUACCUAUAAGACUGGGAUAACUUCGGGAAACCGGAGCUAAUACCGGAUAAUAUUUCGAACCGCAUGGUUCGAUAGUGAAAGAUGGCUUUGCUAUCACUUAUAGAUGGACCUGCGCCGUAUUAGCUAGUUGGUAAGGUACGGCUUACCAAGGCAACGAUACGUAGCCGACCUGAGAGGGUGAUCGGCCACACUGGAACUGAGACACGGUCCAGACUCCUACGGGAGGCAGCAGUAGGGAAUCUUCCGCAAUGGGCGAAAGCCUGACGGAGCAACGCCGCGUGAGUGAUGAAGGUCUUCGGAUCGUAAAACUCUGUUAUUAGGGAAGAACAAACGUGUAAGUAACUGUGCACGUCUUGACGGUACCUAAUCAGAAAGCCACGGCUAACUACGUG
rnacentral:rRNA from 1 species